AGGAAAAACGCCAUGGACGAAGUCCAUAUUCAAAUGCGUUUUUCCGACCUGCCCCAGAGCGGAGCGAAGGGGCACUACCUU
rnacentral:sRNA from 1 species